GAUGAACGCUGGCGGCGUGCUUAACACAUGCAAGUCGAACGAUGAAGCCCAGCUUGCUGGGUGGAUUAGUGGCGAACGGGUGAGUAACACGUGAGUAACCUGCCCUUAACUCUGGGAUAAGCCUGGGAAACUGGGUCUAAUACCGGAUAGGAGCGUCCACCGCAUGGUGGGCGUUGGAAAGAUUUAUCGGUUUUGGAUGGACUCGCGGCCUAUCAGCUUGUUGGUGAGGUAAUGGCUCACCAAGGCGACGACGGGUAGCCGGCCUGAGAGGGUGACCGGCCACACUGGGACUGAGACACGGCCCAGACUCCUACGGGAGGCAGCAGUGGGGAAUAUUGCACAAUGGGCGAAAGCCUGAUGCAGCGACGCCGCGUGAGGGAUGACGGCCUUCGGGUUGUAAACCUCUUUCAGUAGGGAAGAAGCGAAAGUGACGGUACCUGCAGAAGAAGCACCGGCUAACUACGUG
rnacentral:rRNA from 1 species